AUGCUUUGCACUCGCUGGGGCGCUCAUUGCGCGCUGAAAAUCUCAGGGGCAUCCGUUGUUGCUGUGGCGGUCGCCUAGUAUUUUCGCGCUCCUCCCUUUCCUCCUCCUCUUUCUCCUCCUCCUCUGAGCCCCAGUCAGGCCGAUCUGCACUGCUCUAGGUAAGCGGCCCCCGCCCCCGCCUGUGCCCUGAGGCAGCGGCUCUCUGAUGUGUCUGUGAGGGCAGCGGUGGCUGCCCAGCUCUGAGGGCAGCGGGCUGAGGGUCGAGAUGCGGAGCGGGUAUCCGGUAUUGAUUAGGUGGCGGGGGAGGGGAUGGGCUUGGCGGCGCUACGGCGGGUGGGCCACCAUUUUGCGUCGGCCUUAGAGGGGGAGGGAUCUUGGAAAGAUAGCUGCUCCGCGGCGAGGUUUGGCCGCCCAAGGCGGGUCGCGGUCUCGUGGGCAGCUGUCUACUGGAACAGGGCCGCGCGGGCCACAGUCGCCACCCCCUCACCACCAGAGGCCUGUGAGUUUCUCCAUCCCCAGCUUGCUUUUGGCUUUUCUUUCUGGAGACAACUCCCUUUGGUCUUUUGUACGAUUGAUGCCAAGGUUUGGCGGAGACCCGCCCACCCCCCAGUCUGUUCAAUGGUGGGAAAUACUAGGGGGCAUCUGAACUUUCAGGCAUCAGGGCUCCUUCGUACUGCCUAGGAUCUCCCUCCUCUCGACCCAGGUUACCAGUAAUUCCAGGCUCACACCCUUGUUCUUGCCGGAGGGACUGCCUUUCCUCUGUCAUAGAAAUCGUGCUCCAUCCCGUUAUUGUCUAGAGGAUAUGAGCCCGGAGGAGAAACGUGGAGUUACACGGUUUUCUAACAGUGAGCUGUGCAGGUUUUUCAUAAUGAGAUGGAAAAAAUUAUCUCAUUCCGAGGUUUUCUUCACAAACCUAUAAAGAGGAGGGAGUUCCUAUUAACUUAACUAAACUUUUUAUGCUUUUUUAAGGAGAAAUUUGAGGACAUUGUCAAGUGAAGCAGUUUCUACAAGCAUGGGAGACCUUCAUCCAUGGAAUUUUCUUUGUUUGAAAAUAUUUGUUUUGUACAUAGAUUUUAAUCUGAAAAUAAAUUCUUGGCUUUAUUGUUUCAGGGUUUGGACUAGGAGUUUUUAGAUCUUUUAGUGUCAUUAAACAUAAAUUUAAAGCCUAGAAAUGGGAUUUUAAAUUACAAAAAUAUCCUUUUAGCAUUUGUGAGGUGUCCUGCUUUGGGGCUGCAGUGCAAAUUGUGACUCAAGCAGAAACUACACUGAGCCUAUGAAGGCAGGGUUUGCUUUAUUUUAUAUAUUUUUUAUGUUUUGUGGUGCUGGGGAUUGAACCCAGGGCCUUAUGCAUGCAAGGCAGACCUACCAAGCUGUAUCCCCAGCCUGGCAGGGUUUGCUUAUCAGUACAAAUUCUAUUAAAAUUAUAUCAUAUUUGUAUAUUUCAUUGAAGCCCUUUUUGAGGUGGGGUGUUGAUGGAACUGUUGUUUUUUGGUUGGUUGGUUCUGGGUGUUUUGUUUUUGUUUUUGUGAUACUAGGGGUUCAGCCCAAGGACAUUGUACCACUGAGCUUCAUCUCUGCCCCCCCCCCUUUUUUUUGAGACAGGGUCUCUCUAAGUUGCCCAGGCUGUUCUUGAAAUUGAGAUCCUUCUGCCUCAGCCUUCUGAGUCACUAGGAUUACAGGUGUGUGGUCACCACACCUGGCAAUAGAACUAUUAAAAAAAAUUUUUUUAGUUAUACAUGGAUACAGUAUCUUUAUUUUGUUUAUUUAUUUUUUAUGUGGUGCUGAGGAUCAAACCAGUGCUUCCAGAGGGCUCUGCCACUGAGCCACACCCCAGCCCCAAUAGAACUAUUUUGAAGGUGAGAAAAUAGCCUCAAGGAGAGGAAUUGAGCAGGGUUAUGUGGUUUGGAAGCAGAACUAAUUCUUGAGCGGUGGUCUCUGACCCUCAUCCAAUGCUCAGUUCACUAAAUUAUGCCCUGCUCUAUGGGAGUGGGGGGCGGGGUGGAGAGUAAGCGAGAAGGUUCACCUUAAAAAUUCUACAAAAUAUUAUUCAAUUUCAAUUCCCUUCUCCUUUAUAUUUUUAAGAUGCCAUGUUUUCAGCCUUUUAGUAUUUCAAUAUUAUUUCCAAACAUGUUGAAAAAUAACCUAUUGAAAAAGUUCUGAUAUUGAAGAACUCCAAAUCUCAGCUUUUUCUGUUUAAUUUAUUUCUUCCAGUUAAAUUUUCUAGUCCAGUCUUGAUUUUUCAGUCCAGCGUUUUACUCUGCACCAUUGUCUUUUUUAGAAGGAAAGAGAAAGGUAAGACCAAGGGCUUUAUAAUUCCAUACCCUCCUUCCCUCCCACUUGUUUUGUUUUCUUUUUUUCAGGAGGACGUUUAGAACCAUUCCAAGAUUUUAUGUGUGUGUGUGUGGUGCUGAGGAAACCAGAGCCUGUGCAUGCUAGGCAAGCGCUAUACCUCUGAGCUACGACCCCAGCCCACCAAGAAUUUUUUGUUGCUGUUAUACUAAUUGGGAAGAGGAAAUCCUAAAUCGAAUAACAUUUUUUGUAAAUAGAAAGUAUUCUAUAGCUUUAAAAAGUGAUAGAUAGGAUAUUGAAAAUUUAUAUUGAAAAUAUUUCACUACUCAAAAGUAACUUUUCAAAGACCAGAAAUAUUUAUUGUUUAUAUUCACUAAUUAGACAUAUAGCCCUGAAUACUUUUUCUGUCUUCCUACUUUGGAGAAGAACUUAAUAUUUGGUUUUUAGUCAGGUUGUUUUAAGUAAUGAUUCAUAAAGACUUGAUUUUCUCAGUAAUUUGAAUAAAAUGUGUCCAGACUUUUAAAAAUUCAUUCUCUGCAAAGUUGUUUUCUUUUAAAGAGUGUUUCACCUUCAGUAUAUCCAUU
rnacentral:lncRNA from 1 species